GAUGAACGCUGGCGGCGUGCCUAAUACAUGCAAGUCGAGCGAACAGACGAGGAGCUUGCUCCUCUGACGUUAGCGGCGGACGGGUGAGUAACACGUGGAUAACCUCCCUAUAAGACUGGGAUAACUUCGGGAAACCGGAGCUAAUACCGGAUAAUAUAUUGAACCGCAUGGUUCAAUAGUGAAAGACGGUUUUGCUGUCACUUAUAGAUGGAUCCGCGCCGCAUUAGCUAGUUGGUAAGGUAACGGCUUACCAAGGCAACGAUGCGUAGCCGACCUGAGAGGGUGAUCGGCCACACGGGAACUGAGACACGGUCCAGACGCCUACGGGAGGCAGCAGUAGGGAAUCGUCCGCAAAGGGCGAAAGCCUGACGGAGCAACGCCGCGUGAGUGAUGAAGGUCUUCGGAGCGUAAAACUCUGUUAUUAGGGAAGAACAAAUGUGUAAGUAACUAUGCACGUCUUGACGGUACCUAAUCAGAAAGCCACGGCUAACUACGUG
rnacentral:rRNA from 1 species